rnacentral:rRNA from 1 species
GACGAACCGUGCGAACGUUAUUCGGAAUCACUGGGCUUAAAGGGCGCGUAGGUGGUUGAUCAAGUCUGGGGUGAAAUCUUUCGGCUUAACCGGAAAAGUGCCUUGGAUACUGAUCAGCUGGAGGGAGGUAGGGGCAGUUGGAACUUCCAGUGGAGCGGUGAAAUGCGCAGAUAUCAGGAAGAACACCCGUGGCUAAGGCGGCUCUCUAGUACGGUACUGACGCUGAGACGCGAAAGCGUGGGGAGCGAACAGG